CCUACGGGAGGCAGCAGUGGGGAAUAUUGCACAAUGGGCGAGACACUGAUGCAGCGAAGCCGCGUGAGUGAAGAAGGAUUUGAGUAUGUAAAACUCUAUCAGCAGGGGAGAAAAUGCCGGUACCUGUUUAAGAAGCACCGGCUAACUACGUGCAAGCAGCGGCGGUAAUACGGAGGGAGCAGGCGUAAUCCGGAUUUACUGGGUGUAAAGGGGGCGUAGACGGCAGCAUAAGUCUGGAGUGAAAUGCCGGGGCGUAACCCCGGAACUGCUUUUGAAACUGGGAAGCGAGAGUGGAGGAGAGGUAAGUGGAAUUCGUGGUGUAGCGGUGAAAUGCGUAGAUAUGAGGAAGAACACCAGUGGCGAAGGCGGCUUACCGGA
rnacentral:rRNA from 1 species